rnacentral:tRNA from 1 species
AGGAAUUUAGGUUAAACAGACCAAGAGCCUUCAAAGCCCUAAGC